UUCACUGAGGAAGAAAGAAAAAGUAUUUUAAUACUAUUAAUAGUAUUUUAUCCCAUAAUUUAAGCGUUAUAAUGAACUUUGUGGUUCAACGCAAAUUAAAAACCACACCUAUAGAUAUUCUACCUUUAGUAUUAUUACCAAUUCUCAACCCAACAUUGGGUUUUGACAGAUUCUGUCAUUGGAACCUUGGAGGAGAGUAAUCCAAUUGUUCUGUCCAUUAUAAAUAAAUUCAGCCAAGUGAUUUCAACAGUUCUGCUUCAAUAAAAAACUUUAUUAGUAGCAUUAGUUACUACAUGGCUAUAAAAGCAUUCCAGUACAAUAUUUUAAAAUAUAAUCCAGUUUUAUAUAUUUUUCAUGGAAACAGAAUUUAUAUUUUUUUUAAAAAAGGGGGGGGGUGAAGUAGAGAGCCAUCAUACAGAAUCCAUUGUAAAGACGACCUUUACUUUAAAUGAACAUAGGUACAGGUGGUCCUUAAAUUAACUAGGUUAAUUAGGAGUGCAAUUUCUACUGCUAAGCAAUGCAAUUGUAAAGUGCAAUAUUAUGUACUUAAGCAGCCACAAUUUCAGCAGUCUCAUUGCUGUUGUUAAAGGAGGACUCCCUUGCAAUUUCCUGCCUGCUUCCAACAAGCAAAAUUCAUGGGAAAGCUGUCAAGCAGGCUGGCGGAAAUACCGAAUCCUGGGCAAGCUGUCAAGCAGGCUGGCGGGCAGGUAACAUGACUGCUGUAGCAUAGUAUGAGAGUGACUGAACGGCAGAUGGCUGCUGCAGGGUGCAGAAAGUGCACAAGGUGAAUUCAGCCAUGUGAGCAUGCUACAGAGUGCAUGGAAAGGGGAUGCUGCAGUCAGGUACACACUAGGGUGUAUAACAGAGGUCCCCAACCCCCAAUCCAUGGACCGGCAGCGGGCCGUGGCAUGCCAGAAACUGGGCCACGUAAACAAGUGAAGCCCCAUCUGGGGAAUGCAGGCAGCACACAAAACCAUGUUCCCUCCAGUCCAUGGAAAAACCUCUCUCCACGAAACCGGUCCCUGAUGCCCAAAAGAUUUGGGGGCCACUGGUAUAUGAGAUCCCUGGGACUGUGUACUCUAUUGGUGGGUUCCUCAGGAGAAAAAGCAGCAGAAGUGGGAGUGAACUUGCAACCUUCCCUAGCAGCUUCCCCCACUGAGUUUGCUUGUCAGAAGCUGGCAGGGAAGGUCACAAAUGGCAAGCAGGUUCUCACGGGCCCGGUUUAUGCUCACAUGAUUGCAGGAGUGCAGAGACGACCAGUCGUAAGUUCCACUUAUUCAACAUUACAGUAACUUCGAACAGACACUGAAGGAAUGGUCAUUAAUCAAGGACUAUUUAUAGCAUGUAUGCAAUUCUUACUUUGAAUUGCAGCAGAGGAACUGGUAAACUGUCAAAAUAUUGUGAUAGAAUUUGAACUUUCCAAUGAAAACACAUUAUUUUCAGAUCUCAUCUGUUCAAAGACUGGCUUGGAUUCUGAGUUGCCUUCUAUAAAAUAAAUAUUAUUUCAAGCGAGAGUUCCAACUACUCAAAGAAGAUAAAGAAUUAUUCCAUGAGUAGAAUCUGAAUGAGUGAAGCCAGAUCUGCUCCUACAAGUGCUUUAUUUUGGAAUGAUCACAGUAUCUCUCUUGCCAGAAUAUCAAAUAACCCAUCUUCUGAGAUGUGGUAAGUUGCUGGUGGAUACAACUCUGGAACAUGAUAUACAGAUACAAACUGGUUAGGAUUAACUCUG